rnacentral:misc_RNA from 1 species
AAAUACUGUGUAGUUACAUCCGGUUCAUACAGCCUAGAUGAAUAGUAUAACCUCAAAUUAGAAUUGAUAGAGCAUCUUUGGUUGUACGAGGCAUGAUUUGGAUUUGAAGGCAACUUAGAAAUUUAUUGAGCGAAGUCUUGAUCAUAUCCAAAAUGCAUUGCUACCGAUUUGGUCGUUAUCACUCUUGACAAUCAAAACCAACAAGCACAUAUGCCCUUAAGCAUGGAACUAGAGACCCCAUUUUAUAUCUAAAUGUUUCCCUCCGGCCAUUGUCCAGUCUUCUUUAUCCUUAUAAAACAUGACAAUCUACUAACCUUCCACAGCCAAGGUGUAUGGCCUCCAUCGACACACUCUCCGGAUGAGUCAAUAAUAGCCCUGACAUUAAUAACACCCGAUUCCUCCAUAUUGUACCAUCGGUAUUUUCUCACCCCUCUAAAAAGAACAAACAUGAAAAAAUUAAAAAUGGCGACCAAAGACUAUUUUAUGAAUGUCAAAUCUAUACUCGUUUAGAUCUCUAAUUUAUCCAAAUAUGGCGAAACAUCGUGGUGACUCAAAAUAAU